GCUUAACUAGGGUAGCUCAGUCGGUAGAGCGCGAGCCUCUUAAUCUCUGGGUCGUGGGUUCGAGUCUCACGGUGGGCA